rnacentral:lncRNA from 1 species
CCUCGUGGGUGGCGUGGUUGCGGAUGGUUGACGGAGUUAGUGUGCGAUGGUGGGGCGUGAGCGUCGGGGUACACCACUUGCUCAGUCCUUUGACGAUGGUGGCGGCUGUUGACACUAUACCCUUCGUGAAGGCUCUGUCGCGACGCUCCCCCUCUUAUCGUCUUGCUCCUGGUGAAAACCUGAUCUUCGCGGAUCGAGCGGUAGCGGCUAUCCUUGGUCAUACCCCUUCUUGGAGGCACCGCUUUGGAGGCCUAGCUUCGUUGUGUCUGAUUCACCUCUCUAUUGUUCGCGGUGUGGUGGUGUGUCAGUGACUGGCACCUUUGUAUCUUGCCUUGAGGAGAUAAUUGCAGGGCAAUACCACACUUGGGCACGUUGUGACGGAUAGGUACCAAUAGUCAUUUUUUUGCAUGUCAGUACUAUUUCCGAGCCUAAUUGUUGCAAUAUGGUAUGACAGGCAUAUAAACUCGUAUUGACGCAGUAUCUGACGUACCGGGCACGCAUGUCAGUUGGCACGGUGGCGUACACGUGCUGCGUAGCGUGCCAAAACCUGGUCGAACUGGACCAACCCGAGAACCUGGUCGAACCGGACCAACCCGAGAACCCUAGCCUUGCUCUCCCCUCUCCCUCUCUGCGCGGCUCUCCGACGAUGGCGGCGGCGACUCUCGGCGGCGGCGACGUUGCGGGCGGCUACGGAGACCUCCCCGACCUCGGGGUAGAUGACCACGUAGGUCUGGCUGUGGACGAUGGCGGCUCCAGUUCGAACCACUCCUCCGACGCUGGUUUGGAGGAGGAGGAUUUGGAGGAGGAGGA